GAUACCAGAAAGUGGUCAACUGAUAAAAUUUUGCUGAUAUUAUGAUAAAUAUUUUGUCAGUUGACCACUUUUUGAUAUC
rnacentral:pre_miRNA from 1 species